UAUGCACACAAUAUAUAUUGUAUAGCUUUUAUAGGCCUUGACUGUCUCCAACAAGCUCUUCCAAAAGUCUCUAUUAUCUGCAUUUUUCAUUAUUGCUGUUUCUACCCUGUUCAAUUUCUCUUUACUAGUCAUUGUUAUCGCGGUCUUCAUCUAGAGCAGUGUCCUCAAUUCCCUGCGGCCAAACCUCAGAUUUAAGAUCAGGCAUAGAGAAUGUAAGCAGAGAGAGUGCAUAGACUUA